UGUGCUUCCCUAUAAAUAACAGCGGCAAGUGUUGCUCGCACUGUAUCCCUCUCUCGCUAACCUUCCUUCGGUAUCUCAGGUUUUCAAUUUCCAUGAGGAUGUGGAUCUACUCGUUUGAGUUUUUCAUUCAUUAGGUUCUUUCUCUGUUAUCUCGUUCGGAAUUUUACGUUUUCUUGUGUGUCUGUUUCUUCUGGUAUUGAUCAUCUGAUGAGAAAAAAACUGCAACAAUAUGAUUGGAUUCAUUCCAUGAUUCCUAGUAUUUAAGUCUCUGAUGAUUGGUUUCUCUUUUUCUUUCUUCUUUAUGGUUCUUCAAUAUGAAUUUCCCUUUCUUUCUCUGUUGCUUUUGUUCUUGAGAAUGUCUAUUGCUUUCGUUCUCUGUUUUUAUUUUUAAAUUAGAUUCGGUUGAAUUCAAAGGCGAAGAGGUGUGAUGAGUUUUACAUUGGUCCGUGUUUCUGAAUCACAGUGACCGACAACUUUUACCAAUUUCUGAUCUCCAAUCGCAGAUAAAUUUGUUCCUUCUAUGAUUUAUUUAAUCGAUUUUUCUUCCGAGUUUUACAUUUUAAUUCUGUUUCUUUGAUUUCUUGAUCUUUUAGGUUAUUCUUGUGUUGGCGUGGCUCAGUGAUUUUCUGCCUUAGUUGCAGUAUACGCUAUUCCGAUUCAUAAUGUGAAGAGAUAUGAUGAGUUCUACAUUGGUCCGUGUUUCUGAAUCACCGUGACCGACAACUUCUUCCAAUUUCUGAUCUCUAAUCGCGCCUAAUCGCGUAUUACUUUAUUUAUUAUGUAGUCUUAUUUGAUUUUUUUUGAUCUCUUAAAUUGAUUUUUACAUUUAUAGCCAUGAUUCCAGAAUUUAUUAUCUGAUCAGAGUUGGUUUAUUUGUGAUUUAUCCGACUUAUUUAAGUUAAAUUGACGGGGGAUUUCUCCGAAGGAGUCUCGUACUAUUCAGAGAGCAAACUAACAGUGUUUGUAUAUUUCUCAUGUAACCGUCAUAAAUCAACGCUUACUGGUGUUGACGGCGCUGCCCUCAGGGGUGGCAUCUCCGCUGGAGCAGUCUCAUAUUCCAUUGCCUUGUGGAGCGGCGUUGCUGCCUUUAUCAUUUGGGACUGGCCAUGAGACGAACAUUUCAUGCUUUACAGAUGAAUAUAUACAUUGUGUUUAUGCUUUUAUUGUAUUGAAUUGCACACGGCGUUGUAUGACUAGGUGGAGCUGGUGACUAUCAUGUGGUGGGUGUGGAGGUUGAGAAGUAACAUGAUGUUCAAUAAAUGGAAUUGGAAUAUUGAACAAUCUGUUGCAGUAUAGUUAGUUCAGUAGCUGGGAAUAGUUUUACACUUUAAGGAGCUUCUUUUGAUGGAAAGGCCUCUCUUUUGGUGCACCCCAUUGUUCGGUUGAUUUAAACUAAACGUAGAUGGAAGCUGGAUGAGAGGCACAUUGGUUGCUAUUUAGACAUUUUAGAUAUAUAAAUAUCGAAAAUUAUGUAUAAGUAUGGAGUUAGAAGUUAUUUUUUUUUUUU